ACGGAGAGCUUGCUCUCUGGUGGCGAGUGGCGAACGGGUGAGUAAUACAUCGGAACGUGCCCAGUAGUGGGGGAUAGCCCGGGGAAACUCGGAUUAAUACCGCAUACGCCCUAAGGGGGAAAGUGGGGGAUCUUCGGACCUCACGCUAUUGGAGCGGCCGAUGCCUGAUUAGCUAGUUGGUAGGGUAAAGGCCUACCAAGGCGACGAUCAGUAGCUGGUCUGAGAGGACGACCAGCCACACUGGGACUGAGACACGGCCCAGACUCCUACGGGAGGCAGCAGUGGGGAAUUUUGGACAAUGGGGGAAACCCUGAUCCAGCAAUGCCGCGUGUGCGAAGAAGGCCUUCGGGUUGUAAAGCACUUUUGUUUGGAAAGAAAUCGUUUUUGCUAAUACCAGAGACGGAUGACGGUACCAAUCGAAUAAGCACCGGCUAACUACGUGCCAGCAGCCGCGGUAAUACGUAGGGUGCAAGCGUUAAUCGGAAUUACUGGGCGUAAAGCGUGCGCAGGCGGCUAUGUAAGACAGAUGUGAAAUCCCCGGGCUCAACCUGGGAAUUGCAUUUGUGACUGCAUGGCUAGAGUGUGUCAGAGGGAGGUGGAAUUCCACGUGUAGCAGUGAAAUGCGUAGAUAUGUGGAGGAACACCAAUGG
rnacentral:rRNA from 1 species